AUUGAACGCUGGCGGCAGGCCUAACACAUGCAAGUCGAGCGGAUGAAGGGAGCUUGCUCCUGGAUUCAGCGGCGGACGGGUGAGUAAUGCCUAGGAAUCUGCCUGGUAGUGGGGGAUAACGUCCGGAAACGGGCGCUAAUACCGCAUACGUCCUGAGGGAGAAAGUGGGGGAUCUUCGGACCUCACGCUAUCAGAUGAGCCUAGGUCGGAUUAGCUAGUUGGUGGGGUAAAGGCCUACCAAGGCGACGAUCCGUAACUGGUCUGAGAGGAUGAUCAGUCACACUGGAACUGAGACACGGUCCAGACUCCUACGGGAGGCAGCAGUGGGGAAUAUUGGACAAGGGGCGAAAGCCUGAUCCAGCCAUGCCGCGUGUGUGAAGAAGGUAUUCGGAUUGUAAAGCACUUUAAGUUGGGAGGAAGGGCAGUAAGUUAAUACCUUGCUGUUUUGACGUUACCAACAGAAUAAGCACCGGCUAACUUCGUG
rnacentral:rRNA from 1 species